UUGAUUAAAAGAAUUUUAUUCCUAAAUACUAUUAGUAAGAUUUUUAUGUUACCCCUUUAUUAACGAGUUAAAGCGAUAAAUAUAAUUAAUUGUUUUUAGCAAUUCACGAGAGCUUUAUUAGCUAUAAUAAAGUGAUAAAAAAAAAAUAUGGCUAAAACUCUGAAGCAUGUUUAUACUUGGAUUUUAUUUCUUUCCCUAUUUCUUAUUGCGAAGGAGGUUGUGGCAUAUUUUAAAUGUUUAGACAGUUAUGAUUGUCCAAAAGUUCCCGACGAGAAAACUUUUCUUUAUGAAUGCAUUAACUACCGAUGUGAACUUUUUCUAUUAGAGUCU